AUUGAACGCUGGCGGCAGGCUUAACACAUGCAAGUCGAGCGGAGUGAUGGUGCUUGCACUAUCACUUAGCGGCGGACGGGUGAGUAAUGCUUAGGAAUCUGCCUAUUAGUGGGGGACAACAUCUCGAAAGGGAUGCUAAUACCGCAUACGUCCUACGGGAGAAAGCAGGGGAUCACUUGUGACCUUGCGCUAAUAGAUGAGCCUAGGUCGGAUUAGCUAGUUGGUGGGGUAAAGGCCUCCCAAGGCGACGAUCUGUAGCGGGUCUGAGAGGAGGAUCCGCCAAACUGGGACUGAGACACGGCCCAGACUCCUACGGGAGGGAGCAGUGGGGAAUAUUGGACAAUGGGGGGAACCCUGAUCCAGCCAUGCCGCGUGUGUGAAGAAGGCCUUAUGGUUGUAAAGCACUUUAAGCGAGGAGGAGGCUCUUUUGGUUAAUACCCAAGAUGAGUGGACGUUACUCGCAGAAUAAGCACCGGCUAACUCUGUGCCAGCCGCCGCGGUAA
rnacentral:rRNA from 1 species